GCUGAAAUAACCAUCCUAUUAUUAAAUGUACUUAUUUUUUUAAUACCGUCACAAUGAAAAAAUAAACAGAACGGCUGCAUAACAAACGAUGGAAAUGGGGGUUUGAGGUUUUGGCAUUUAGCAGGCAGGGAGGGUCUGACAAUGAGCAGCAUUGUGUUGCAUUGUGGGAGAGGUGAAGAAUCCAACGUAUGGAGAUGAAGGAAAGUGACAGUCGCCAUGGUUACGCCAGUCAGCUCGCUUUAGAUGUUGUGUGUACACUGGGCUUUAUCCGUCACUAUGAAAUGAACCUUUAGUUAAUAAAUGAAGUUGUGUUCUGUGCAGCGAUUCAUUGUAUUAUACUCUGUAAUGUAUGCACAGUAUUGGAAGAUUAUUUAAAACUCUACGCAGUUCUUUAAUGCUGUUUGACGGCAUCCGGCAGCUGAAGAUCAUUUCAUCUCCUUUGCGCUUCGGAUGGUGCGAGAUCUUGCAAGAAGACCCAGUGCUCUUUACAUGCAUGGACGGGGACUAUUUUUCUCUGAGCUACUGAAAUGCGAUACAACUGGCUACAACUAUUUUGUGGCUACAAAAGCUGCGCGUCGGGCCUAACAACCCCCCCGACUGUUAGAUUAUUGGACGAUAAAGUAAAGCCUCUCGUACCUUAUUGCUUAAAUAUAAUUGAAAUAUUGUGACAACUGUUCUCUCCACUUCCAAAGUGUACAUCGUAUUUCCUCCUCCCAUACGCAUUCAGCCCUUUCCUCUUCCUUCUCCCUCUCCCAUCCGUCCGAACGUGAGCCGAGGCGUCCCCCACUCUGCUGGUCGUCCCUUGUUAUGCAUCAGACCAACAAAGAGAAGAAACGCAGUCUGAUAGAACAAUCAGCCGGUGACAGCAGAACACAGGGAGAGUUCUUACGCCUUCUGUUCGUCUGCCUGAAACAAAUGAAGCCGGCGGGGGCCUCGGCUUUUAUCGGGGACAGCUUGUCGCAGAUAAUGCUCUCAUUUGGUGGGAAAUUGACCCCAGGCGCUGAAUCCGCUCCAAGAUAAGUGCGUCGAGCUGGAAUGCAUGUAGGACUUUAUUGGAGCAAUAAAAAGAGAGAAUGGCAUUAUUGCAGGGAGUUAGAAGUGUGAGAGGGGUGUCCGCGUCGACGGGGAGAAAAGAACCGGCGCAAGACGUGACCUCAAUAUACAUUGUGGCUGCUGCAUGCAGAGCAUGCAGAGCGGCAAAGCAACGCCUUUAUUUUCCUGAUCGCGUGGGGUUUCUGAAUCAAUUGCAGAACUCAUUCUUGUUGCUCUUUUUCCUGGUUCUUUUAACAGCAGUGAGUUGUGAUGUUGUGACGAUAAUAAUGCAUUUGUAAUAUCAUCAUUACUGUCGGCAUCAGUCUAAUUGUAGUUCCAAAAUCAAGAGCGAUGCAUUCAAUCCUCAAAGUAGUUAUAUUUGAACUGCUUUAGGUUUCAGACCACCGUAAUGAGCUUUAGGCGACUUUUACAGUUACAUUUGUUACCUGGUUGUUAGUUAUUUUCAUAACAACAUACAUGCUCACUUAAAUAAUCUUAUUCAUUUAUGAAACAAAGGUCUGAAGAGCAUGAUUUAUGUUGUAACCUCGUUUAAAUUUAACGGGAAAGGGUUCGUACUUUCUAUUUCUGCUCUUCAACAGUUCAUCUUUAACUGAUCAGACAAACAACAACACUCGUUGAUUUUCCCCUCAGAGCACCUUCACCCCCGAGGUGCUGCCUUUUCCACCUCCGGCCCAUGAAACUGUGACUCCUCCCCCCUCCGCAGGAAGGACAGCUGCUGAAUGGGACGCACAAAAAAUAACCACCACGGCAUGUGAAACAUAACCCUUUAUCAACAUUGUGCAAUAUCACAUUUCAAUUUCCUGUCCAAUAUCAUUUUCGUUAGUCGGACGUUACGUGAAGUCAUGUUCUUUGCUGUUCUUCUUUCAUUUUAAUAAUCCUACACCAUUUUUCAUCCAGAAUUUAAUGCUGCUUCGAGCCUCCAGCUGAUGGAAAAGGGUUUUGAUGUUUUUUUUCUUCUCCCGUGUAACGAAAGUCCUGUAAAAUGCUGUUUCAUUCAUUUGUGGUUCCCAAACUUUUUCUGUCGAGCCCCCCUUUGAUGGCACAGGACCAUUGGAGGUGUUUGUGCUCGUCUCCGCACCUGAUAUUUAUCUUUUUCACUUCUUCUUUCCGUGUCUCUGACAUGAGGAGGUGUUUGGACCGCGUCCCCCCCUAGGGGGUGCGCCCCCCAGUUUGGAAACCACUGGUCCAGAGGGAAGGAGGGAAGUGAUGUGCAUGUAUAUUCACAAGUGACUGGAUGAUAUUUAACCAGCCAGCGGCAGUGCUUUGUGCAUCGUUUCAAUGUGCUCGCAUGUACAUUAGUCUCUCAGACCGUAUGUCAUAUUUAACUAGCGGACGGGAUGUGUUUCAGGAUGUGUGGUUAAGCAGAGGGAGCGUGCCUGCAGGUUCCUCCAGGGCCCCGACCUCUAUGAUCCCAUUACAACAGCGCCAGCAGAACACUGCAGCGUGCGCGCCGUCCACACCGCUGCUAAGGCCUCGUGUAUUCAGCACACAGAGAUGCGACCCUUGCUUUGCUACUAUUUUUCACUUUGGCACUUGAAAUUGUGAUUGCAACUGAAAGAACAGGCUCAGUUUGCACCCCAGCCAUGAUUUUUUUUACAGAUUUGAUGAUCAAGUUAAUAUAAAAAAGACGUUGCCUGAGGUCUCUGUUGGACAUUUGAAGUAAAAGAAAUAACAAUUUGUAUUCACACAAGUGAAUCCAGACCAGACCAAAAUACUAAACACAAAUGCUCCUUGAGUCGGCUCCUGUGGGGAAGGAAAAUGUCCCUUAUUCUGAACCACAGCCUGUUCAAAAGCUAUUGAUUUAAUACAUUUAAUGUUAAAACGUGUUCACAGUUUUCAGCUACACUUUAAGCUGUGCUAGAAAACAAAAAAAUAAAAAAUAAAUUAUAUAUAUAUAUAUAU
ensembl:lncRNA